UACGGAGGAUGCAAGCGUUAUCCGGAAUGAUUGGGCGUAAAGCGUCCGCAGGUGGCUAUGUAAGUCUGCUGUUAAAGAGUCUGGCUCAACCAGAUAAAGGCAGUGGAAACUACAUGGCUAGAGUGCGUUCGGGGCAGAGGGAAUUCCUGGUGGAGCGGUGAAAUGCGUAGGGAUCGGAAAGAACACCAACGGCGAAAGCACUCUGCUGGGCCGACACUGACACUGAGAGACGAAAGCUAGGGGAGCGAAUGGG
rnacentral:rRNA from 1 species